GGGCCGUUAGCUCAGGCGGUAGAGCAGCGGACUUUUAAUCCGUUGGUCGCGGGUUCGAUUCCCGCACGGCCCACCA
rnacentral:tRNA from 1 species